rnacentral:rRNA from 1 species
UACGUAGGUGACCAGCGUUGUCCGGAUUUACUGGGCGUAAAGAGCGCGCAGGCGGUCGUUCAAGUCGAGUGUGAAAGCCCCCGGCUCAACUGGGGAGGGUCACUUGAUACUGAUCGACUCGAAGGCAGGAGAGGGAAGCGGAAUUCCCGGUGUAGUGGUGAAAUGCGUAGAUAUCGGGAGGAACACCAGUGGCGAAGGCGGCUUCCUGGCCCGAUACUGACGCUGAGGCACGAAAGCGUGGGGAGCAAGCAGG